UUCUUUUGAUUUUGGUAGAAUUUUUUUUUUUUUUUGAUUAUUCAUUAUGCUUAGCUCGAUUCUCCUUCAGUAGUUAACUAUCACAUACAAAAUUAUCCCAAAAUCAGCUCUGUUCAAACUAGCGUAUACAAAAUUUCUUUCCAAUGAUUGCUUUACUUUAUUGACUAUCACACAUCCUCCUCAAUCGGUAAUCCAUCAGUAACCAUCAAUUAAAAUUUCUUAAAUUCUAUCUGUAUCCCUGUAUCACUAAAACCCCAGUUUGACUCAAAUCGUGUUUGGGUUUUUUCUCCAAACUGAAAAUUUCCAAAACGUCUCGAUUGUAAACUUCCAAGGAAUGUUCUGUCCUGGAUUACUGCUGCAGCAGUGUAGGCCGACCAACAAUCAAUCAGAUUUAGUCUAGUCUAGUUUUAAGUAAAACUACAUAUUUUACGACUCUUUUUUAGGGACGGAUAGUAUUAUCGAAUGCAUAAAUAUUAGUAGUCAAUAACUAUCGGACUUGCAAUGUUCUUGCCAGCAACUAUAAUAGAGAACAAUUUGGGCAGUUCUAGGAAAAUCUCAGUUUCUCCAAUCCAUCCAUCCAACACACGCAUGCAUGUGCGAAUAGGUCGCGUUGAAAUAUGGACGUGUCCAUAAAUCAUUUUUCCUUUGCUACAAAGCAGAUCAUCAAAUCCGUUACUCUUAUCACUAGCAAACGCCACAUGUUUCCUUUGAGUCUGUAUCCGUUUCCUGUGUAUCCACGUGUUCGGUUGUAAAUAUUAACAUCAAACUUUUGAUAUUUUCUUGAGUACAAAAUUCUUGGUUCUCUAAUAAAUCCGAUAAAACCAAGGUCUCUCUGUUAAUAAUAAAGCUGCUUGUUCUAGGUCUAGGUCUCUCAAUCGGUGUAUGUCAACGCAAAACCAUUUAUUUGAAAUGCAGAAUCAUUGCUUUCGAUUGAUGGGUUCUUACUUAAUUUGUUGUUCCAUCAGUGUUUGAUUAUUUGUUAAAAACUAUGGAAAUCACUAGACUUUCCCAAAUCUGAGGUGUAGAAGAAGACAUUUUUUCCAUGGCGAUUUCAAUAUCGCAAUGUCUCUGGUGAAAGCAAUCAACUUGGAGGAUCAGAGUUUGAUGAAAUUUUGUCAAAGUUUCAUCUCUAAUUUUUUGGGAUUAAGAGUCAUGCUGGUGCUUGUUGAUAAAAGUUAUUGCAGAUUAUCGGAAGCUAAGGGAAGAUACCAUUGUUGAUGAGUUGGAUGUGGAGUGGUGCAGAAGGAACAAGCAUCUAUUCCGGUUGGACAACCUGCAAAAGGGGUAGAGAUUUAUGGAGAAUGUUUAGAGAAACAGGAACAGUCAAUUAUGCAUGAUUGGGGAGGUUUGAAACCUCUUGUAGUUGAAAGGAUUUAGAGUUUCUAAUGAAGAAAAAAAAGCUAUGUGAUUGCGAGCUACAAGUGAGCAAUGUAUCUUACCAGCAUUAUUAACGAGAGAGCUGCACUGUCAUGGUCCCAGGGUCAUGGUCGAGUAGCUUACAGCAGUGGAGUUUGGAUCUUUAAAAGGUCGUCAUACUUCACUGGAAGAUGUAAAGAAGAUGGCAGUUGCACUUGGACGUGUUAAUUUUAGUACACCACCAAAUUAUGAAAAUUAUGAAGUCCUUCUCGACGAAAUUAUAGAUAGCAAUAUGGAACUAUGUGUUGGAGAUGGAAUAUUUGGAGAUAUUGAUCCCAGUGAGACGAUUGAAUGGCCAAAUAAAUACGUAACUCCUGCACUUGGAUGUUAAAUCACACUGUUUUAAAAAAAAAAUAUUAUUUUUUCUUCUUCUUUGUUGUUUUGAACAUGAUGAAGUAGCUUUUGUUGUUGAAUUUAGAGAUGUUUGGGUUUUUAAGUUGUCAACCGAAAGUUAAUUCUAAUAGAAUGGUUUACAUUUUGCUUACAAAAUUCA